AACGGAGGAUGCGAGCGUUAUCCGGAUUUAUUGGGUUUAAAGGGUGCGCAGGCGGCACGGCAAGCCGGCGGUCAAAUCGCGGGGCUCAACCCCGCCCAGCCGUCGGAACUGCCGGGCUAGAGUGGGCGAGAAGUGCGCGGAAUGCGUGGUGUAGCGGUGAAAUGCAUAGAUAUCACGCAGAACUCCGAUUGCGAAGGCAGCGCACCGGCGCCCUACUGACGCUCAGGCACGAAAGCGUGGGUAUCGAACAGG
rnacentral:rRNA from 1 species